ACCCAACAAUACCUGAAAGCCACUUGUUGUCCACAAGACCAAAAUUAAUUAAACUCUCUCUAGUGUAUUCAAAAUUUCUGAUUUACAGGUACUAUAAUAUGAAGUGGUGAUCCAGAUAGAUUGGAACCCAUAUAUGACGGUCUGCAUAGAGAUCUGCAUAAUACACCCAAACACAGACUAUAAAUACACCCGACAAAAAAUUAAAUUUACACCCAUGCUGCAGAUUUUAACCCAACACUACCUGAAAGCCACUUGUUGUCCACAAGACCAAAAUUAAUUAAACUCUCUCUGGUGUAUUCAAAAUGUCUGAUUUACAGGUACUAUAAUAUGAAGUGGUGAUCCAGAUAGAUUGGAACCCAUAUAUGACGGUCUGCAUAGAGAUCUGCAUAAUACACCCAAACACAGACUAUAAAUACACCCGAUAAAAAAUUAAAUUUAC